rnacentral:lncRNA from 1 species
UUUUGUUUCUGGGAACUUACAAGCAACUUCCCAGUGGGUCACUCAUCCUGAAAUUGCUUUAGUCCCAACUCGCUUAACUUCGGAGUUUUCAUGACUCCGAAGCCAGUGAGCUCCCAAAAGGCCUCGUGCUAUAUGGAGGCGGGCAUGUACAUAUAAGGCACAUCACCCCCUCUCCUUUGGUAUCCUCCCUUAGGGGUCCGACGUCCUCGUUGGUACACUCGCACCACACUGCAGAGUGGCUCUGAUACCAAAUUGUCACAUCCAGGGAUCGGCUCUGCCGUAGCAUGAUAUUGUCCGCUUUAGG